GUUGUUUUAGCUUAGUUGGUAGAGCGCGUGUCUUUUAACCAUGUGGUUGUGGGUUUGAUUCCCACAAACGGCA